AGUGAGGUAGAAUAAAAAGUUCGCUCCAUUUACACUGGAGAAGUCAAAAAGUUAACUUUGUCUUGUUA
rnacentral:tRNA from 1 species